UACAGAGGAGCCAAGCGUUGUCCGGAUUGACUGGGCGUAAAGCGCACGCAGGCGGUUUGGCGCGUGGGGUGUGAAAUCUGGCCGCUUAACGGCCAGGCGCCAUCCCAUACGGCUAAACUGGAGUGAUGCAGAGGUCGGUGGAAUUGCCGGUGUAGUGGUCGAAAUGCGUAGAGAUCGGCAGGAACACCCAGGGGGAAACCAGCCGACUGGGCAUCGACUGACGCUGAGGUGCGAGAGCGUGGGGAGCGAACCGG
rnacentral:rRNA from 1 species